ACGGAAGGCAGCAGUGGGGGAUAUUGCACAAUGGGGGAAACCCUGAUCCAGCGACGCCGCGUGAGUGAAGAAGUAUUUCGGUAUGUAAAGCUCUAUCAGCAGGGAAGAUGAUGACGGUACCUGACUAAGAAGCCCCGGCUAACUACGUGCCAGCAGCCGCGGUAAUACGUAGGGGGCAAGCGUUAUCCGGAUUUACUGGGUGUAAAGGGAGUGUAGGCGGCUUAGCAAGUCAGAAGUGAAAACCCGGGGCUUAACUCCGGGACUGCUUUUGAAACAGUUAGGCUUGAGUGCAGGAGAGGUAAGCGGAAUUCCUAGUGUAGCGGUGAAAUGCGUAGAUAUUAGGAAGAACACCAGUGGCGAAUGCGGCUUACUGGACUGCGACUGACGCUGAGGCUCGAAAGCGUGGGGAGCAAACAGGAUUAGAUACCCUGGUA
rnacentral:rRNA from 1 species